GAAAUGCGAUACGUAGUGUGAAUUGCAGAUCCGUGAAUCAUCGAAUGUUUGAACGCAAACGGCGCUCUCGUUGAAUAGGCGAGAGCAUGCCUGUCUGAGUGUCAUUGACCUCGGCUACCCUCCUCCUCUGGUGGGGGGUGACAGUGGGUGCUAUGCCCUUUGCUAAAGGGGGCAUACCGCCUGAAACGCAGCCAAAAGCACGGAACGCCAGGAGUCCGCACGAGACGGUGAGAGCCAACACUCGGGCGGGCACAGCGGCCAUAAGCCGUGCAGGCACAGCUUGCCAACCAACCAACAGAAACAUGACCUCAGAUCAGGCAAGGGUACCCGCUGAAUUUAA
rnacentral:misc_RNA from 1 species